AGUGAACGCUGGCGGUAGGCCUAACACAUGCAAGUCGAACGGCAGCACAGUAAGAGCUUGCUCUUACGGGUGGCGAGUGGCGGACGGGUGAGGAAUACAUCGGAAUCUACUUUUUCGUGGGGGAUAACGUAGGGAAACUUACGCUAAUACCGCAUACGACCUACGGGUGAAAGCAGGGGAUAUUCGGACCUUGCGCGAAUGAAUGAGCCGAUGUCGGAUUAGCUAGUUGGCGGGGUAAAGGCCCACCAAGGGGACGAUCCGUAGCUGGACUGAGAGGAGGAUCGGCCACACUGGAACUGAGACACGGUCCAGACUCCUACGGGAGGCAGCAGUGGGGAAUAUUGGACAAUGGGGGCAAGCCUGAUCCAGCCAUACCGCGUGGGUGAAGAAGGCCUUCGGGUUGUAAAGCCCUUUUGUUGGGAAAGAAAAGCAGCAGGUUAAUACCCCGCUGUUCUGACGGUACCCAAAGAAUAAGCACCGGCUAACUUCGUG
rnacentral:rRNA from 1 species